rnacentral:rRNA from 1 species
GGCUCUUUGAUUGUUAAAACAUGAGGAGUCGGACCUGCCCGGUGAAGUGUUUAAACGGCUGCAGUACCCUGACUGUGCAAAGGUAGCAUAAUAACUUGCCUUUUAAUUGGAGGCUGGAAUGAAUGGUCUGACGAAAGCAUAGCUGUCUCUUUAUCUUUAACUAAAACUUAUUCUUUAGGUUUAAAAACUUAAAUCUUACUGUAGGACGAGAAGACCCUGUCGAGCUUUAAGAAAGUAGUUAACGAGCUUGGACUCUCAUGGUAAAUCUACACUUGAACUAUAGACUUUUGGUUGGGGCAACCGUGGGGGAAGAAAAACUCCCGUUUUUGAAAACAAAUGAUUUAGAUCCAUUUUGGUUGAUAAAAAGAAUUAGUUACCGCAGGGAUAACAGCGUAAUCCUCCCGGAGAGACCAUAUUGAGGGGAGAGGACUACGACCUCGAUGUUGGAUCGAAAUAUAUUGAAGGUGCAGGAGCUUUCACAAUUUGGUCUGUUCGACCAUUAAAAUUUC